rnacentral:lncRNA from 7 species
UUGCAGGAGAAAUUCCCAAAGCAGAUCUCUGUCACUCCUCCCAGCCACUCUUACUCAUUCCAGUCUUCAAUGGGAAGUGUUUGAAAUAAUUAUUUGAAGCGCUGUUUAAUUGAAAUGCAUUGUAUCCAAACUAGCUCAGAUGAGCCCAAACUCUUUUUGUGAUGGGCUGCAAAACUCUGGAGUCCUUGGAGGGAAGAAGUCAGGUGGAACUGAGAGAUGAUGAGGCAGUUGCGGGGCCAGGCAGAGGGCAUGCUGUUGGACCGCAGGUACCGUGGAGUCAUUUGUCACCCUCAGGAAGAGCUGGCCUAAAAGAAAAAAGCUUCCAUAACAUGAAGUAGCCCCCCUUCCUCCCUCCCUCUCCAGGUUUGAUCUCACUGUUAUUUGGGGUGGAAGUAUUUUUCUGGUUUUGAAAUUUCUGCCAAAUGACAAGCUCCCAAUUUCCCUGAGCAGCUGCUGGCGCCUGCCACCAAAUGGGACUCUGGGGGCACCCACCAGUGGAUUGGCCCACAGCUUCCAGCAUCUCCAGCCCGGGGCAGGUGUGCCAGCAGUCAGAAUGACCAAUCUCAGAGGACUGUCUUGGAUUAAGAGGAAGAUGCUUUGACUGGAAAAUUUCAGGCUUCACAGUGUGGUAUUUUCUGACUAAUCUAUAUUUUGACAGCGCUAUCAAACAUUUGUGCAAUAACUCUCAAGAAUUCUCACAAUCUAUGGUCUCACGUUCCCUCUUUUCUUGCACAUCAGAUGGACUCUCCUGAUUGCAUUUAAUAUCCAUCCAGCAUGUGAGCAAAAAAGCUCUUGAAAGUAGGUCUGCUUUUAAGGUCAUGGAGAAAGAACAGUCAAAUCUGACCAGAACUAAGGCAGUUCUUCUACAUUUCAUACUAACUGAAAAUAAUAAUACAAAGAAAUGUUCAUAGAGGAAACCUCAAACCAUCCCAAACUGCUCUUCUAUGAAUGAAUUCAAACACAAAAACUGCCUGCGUGUUGUCUGCAGGAGUUCAAACUUAAGAUGUGUCAACAUGAACACUGUGGCCGCCUCAGCUAUUGUUAGUCCCAUUGCCAGGCACCUAAUAAUUCCAUACUGGAAAAGGUUUGUGCUGUCUCAGCAGGGAAACAGGCAGCCAUGUGGUAGAGGCUAUCCAGUUAUGAGGAGUUUUUUAGGAAACACCGUAAACACGUUUUCCUUCAGGAACCUUUUCUUGAGUCAAAGGCAGGAAAAAAAAAAGUCAACCUUAUUAAUUCAUGGUGUUGCAAGAAGGAAAGAGUGCCAAACAUCCUGCCCAUGACGAUCCUUGGGGAGAGAAUACAAGAAACAGGGCAAGCCCUGAGGAAUCCUUGCCAUCGCCCAGUGCUGCUGGCUCUGCUUCUGCUGAGGGAGGACCUCUUCUGCCUAGCCUCAGCCCAGUUACCUUUCUUGUGACCCCCUGGAAGGACAAUGACAAGAGAUGAGAUCUUGAGAUGUCACAAGGCCGGCCAAGAAAGGAACCCCUUUUUGGCAUGAAUGCAACAUGAUCAAAAUCAGAAGACGACAGCCUUCUGCAGUGUCAAAGCCCUAUUUCUAGAAAGCAUGUAACUGUUUAAUAGUCUUCUCUCUGUGAGGGAAGCCAUUUUAUCUACAGUUUUCCUUGGGAAACUAGUCCAAAGCCUGAUGUGGCAUCAAGAAAAUCUAAAGGGGUACUGACAGUUCUCAUUGUGCUGAUUUUCAAAUGAAUCCAAUUGCCACUAUUGCUGGUAAAGUCUUUUAAUAUGCGUCUACUGAAGUUUUAUUGACAUGUUUAUGGACUAAUAAGAAAAGAAAAAAAGAAAAAAGAACUCAGGAAGAACAGUUUGCAGGAGCUGAAAUGUUUUAACAAUGGUUUUGUAACUGACUUGCAUUAUUUUUGGUCCUUGGAGAAAGAAACUGUGGAAAAUUCAAAAUC